rnacentral:rRNA from 1 species
GAUGAACGCUAGCGGGAGGCCUAACACAUGCAAGCCGAGCGGUAUGGGUAGCUUGCUACCCAGAGAGCGGCAUACGGGUGCGUAACACGUGUGCAACCUGCCCCUAUCCGGGGGAUAGCCCUCCGAAAGGAGGAUUAAUACCCCAUAAUAUAUCUGGUGGCAUCACUAGAUAUUGAAAACCCCGGUGGAUAGGGAUGGGCACGCGCAAGAUUAGAUAGUUGGCGGGGUAACGGCCCACCAAGUCGAUGAUCUUUAGGGGUCCUGAGAGGGAGAUCCCCCACACUGGUACUGAGACACGGACCAGACUCCUACGGGAGGCAGCAGUGAGGAAUAUUGGACAAUGGGUGGAAGCCUGAUCCAGCCAUCCCGCGUGAGGGACGACGGCCCUAUGGGUUGUAAACCUCUUUUGUACGGGGAUAAACCUAUCUACGUGUAGAUAGCUGAAGGUACCGUACGAAUAAGCACCGGCUAACUCCGUG